UGGAAUGGCCAGGAGCCACCACAUAGUACCUAAAAUAAACCCAUACUGCGGGAGGCAGAGCUAAGACAGAGAAAAACGGAAUUCUGAAGAUAUUAUUAGAGCCGCUAGAUCCAGGCUAGAUCAAUCUGGCCCUAGCCCUGAACUUUUCAAUUACAUGGGCCAAUAGAUUUUCUCCUCCCACCCCAUCUUCUUGGCUGAAGCCAGUUUGAAUUAGUUUUUGUCUUUUGCCACCAACACUGAAAGAGUUUUGAUAUAGACAGAUGAAAAGACAGCAUUCCUGAUCCUGAGGCGGCAGACGUAAACUCAAGUGUGGGCUCUGUCUGGAUUUCUGAAAACAUGAAGGGGCUGAUUACAAAUCUCCUUACCAGAUAAUAGAGCUAUUCCUCACUCUCCCAGCCUUGGCUACCCUGAGAAAUUAGCUUUCUCUGAAAGAGCAGACUCGAGGAGGCUAUGCUUCAAGAGCAACUUUCCAGAACACGCCACAGGACUGGCUGCUUCUGGGCCCCACAACCACGAUGCCUCUGCACCAAUCAGGAAGCUGCUGGUUUUAGAAUAACCAAAUGUCUCCACCCCCGUGUU